NNNNNNNNNNNNNNNNNNNNNNNNNNNNNAGCCAGCAUAAAAGGCACAGUAUUAUUUGUUGCAGCAGACAAUUUAGCUGCCCAUUCUUUGGGAGGGUUCUUUGAAAGCUUCACAGUCAGUCAGAUGUGCCGAUUCUGUAUGGCCAAAAAGGGGGGGAAAGACAACACAAGGAAGUGCGGACAGGCUCAUUUCAACCAAGAACAAAAGAAAAUCAUGAUAUACAGGUGCAAGAUGUAUUGCAGGAUCCUACCAUGGCUCAACAAUAUGGCAUGAAAAGAAGCUGCCCACUUAGUGAAAGCUUGGAACAUUUUCAUGUUGUCAAUGGUUAUCCUCCAGAUCUUUUGCAUGAUCUUCUGGAAGGUGUUGUUCCGGCUGAAUUGGCCUUGUGCUUGAAGGCACUAAUAUCAAAGGGAUACUUCUCACUUGAAAUCCUGAAUGUGGCUAUUAAACAGUUCCCAUAUACAUUUUCAGACAGAACAAACCAACCCCAGCUCAUUGCAAAGAACUUUGCUUCCAAAGCAACAAUUGGAGGAAAUGGUCAUGAAAAUUGGACACUCCUCCGCCUUCUGCCACUACUGAUAGGUCAUCACAUUCCUGAGGGGGAUGAAACCUGGGAGGUUUUAAUGAACUUAAAAGAUGUAGUGGAAUUGUCAGUGUCUGCAAGCUUCUCAGAGGAGUCAGUGUGCUUUCUUGACUGCAAGAUUGCAGAACAUAGAGAUAUAUUUCAGAAAGCUUUCCCAAACGAGAAGCUACGACCGAAGCACCACUACAUUGAGCACUACCCUCAACUAAUUCAAACUUUUGGUCCAUUGUGUGAUGUGUGGACAAUGCGUUUUGAAGGCAAACACAAGUUCUUCAAGAAAGUUGUGCGUCACAUUCACAACUUCAAGAACAUACCCCUUACUUUAGCUCUCAGACACCAGCAUAUGAUAGCCUUCCAUUUAGCUUCUACCUCCUUUUUCAAGCCAUCUGUUGAAAUUAACAAAGUGAAGUCUGUAAUGGUUGCUUCAUUUCCUGAAAAUGUGAAGAACUGUCUCUAUCUCAGGAAUAACUACCAGAACACAGUCCUUGUAGCAGCUUCUGUUUGCAUAGAUGGCAUUAAGUACAGUGCUAAUAUGGUCAUUUCCGUUGGAUCGUGCUCAGGGCUCCCAGAUUUCCGACAAAUAGCAAAGAUUGUGGUGAUCAAUACGGACAUAAUAUUUGUCUGCAGACUC
rnacentral:lncRNA from 15 species